UACGAAGGGUGCUAGCGUUGCUCGGAAUCACUGGGCGUAAAGGGUGCGUAGGCGGGUCUUUCAGUCAGGGGUGAAAUCCUGGAGCUCAACUCCAGAACUGCCUUUGAUACUGAGGAUCUUGAGUCCGGGAGAGGUGAGUGGAACUGCGAGUGUAGAGGUGAAAUUCGUAGAUAUUCGCAAGAACACCAGUGGCGAAGGCGGCUCACUGGCCCGGUACUGACGCUGAGGCACGAAAGCGUGGGGAGCAAACAGG
rnacentral:rRNA from 1 species